rnacentral:misc_RNA from 1 species
UGAUAGGACUCUCCUCCUUGGGGAGAAACCCUUCCCCCCAAGGUGGGCCGGGGGCGAAAGAAGGGGAAAGGCGAAGUCGCCCCAUCGACAUCCUCAAUUCGACCUUUCCUCCCCCGACGUCCCCCGGACCACCCAUAUACUUCGAAGGUUCAUCUUAUUCACCUCAGUUUAACCCGGGGUUAG